UUUCCUGCGUUCGUCAGACAAGAAGAACGAUGAUCGACACCUGCACAAAGGAGUGUGGCAAAGGCUGCAGGGAGUACAUCUAUGAGACGAAACAGUCAUUCUGGCUGGCGUAUGACCCUGAGAACGAAGGAGAGUACUACAUACGGCUCAAGUUGCUGAUGACCUCACGCUCCGUGGACGUCAUGCACAUCAUUCCUCUCAUCAAGGUGAUGUUCCUGCAGCCCGCCCAAAUGCCAUUUUUUUCCUAGUUGUGCCUCAGUGCAUACCUAAUUGUAUUGCGCAUUGUUAUGCAGAAGAUACAAAAAGAGUAAGCACGCAAUCACUUAUGUAGGAGGCCGCACCUAAUGCUAGCCGUCAAAUCUGGUACAGUGUUCUUUUGAUGUACUUCACGCAACUCACAUUAUUUACUGUUACCUAAUCAGUUUAC